GGAGGGAGGGAUAGCCUUGGGGUGGGAAGGGCAGGGGGACACAGAAUGGAGGGACUUGGGUGGGUCAAGACCCCGAAGCAAGGGAAGGAAGGAAGUUGAUGGCACCUGGCUGAGUCUGUCACAGAAUUCUGGCCCCAUUGCCCAGGAUGGAUAACACUGGGGUCUCCAGAAUGGGACCACCACCCUAGCACCUCCAUCACCCUCUAGCCCCUUAAGAGAGAACAGAGGAGGGAGUCAGUCUGCCCACAGCCCCCUGAGCUGGCCAGACUGAAAGGCUCCCUGUUCUCUUCUCUCAGAGUGAGAUCCUGCAGGAAGAAAGCCACAAGGCCAGCAGUGAGCACCAGGAAUGUGGGUAUGGAAGAUGCAAAUGCUGUCACGAGGUCAGUCUCUCAGAUCCCUCUGGCUGCUGUGUGCAGAAGAGACUGCUUUGUCCAGCUUCUGGAGGCAGCUGUAUAGUCCUGUUCUCUGUCUUCAAGGCCAGAAGCAUUGCAUCUUCAAAUCCCACUCUUGUAAAGAUAAAGACCCUUUUGAUUACAUCGACCACACCCAAAAGAUCCAGGGCAAUCUCCCCAUUGCAAUAUCCUUAAUUUAAUCCCAUCCCCAAAAUCCCUUUUGCCAUAUAAGAUAACACAGUCACAGGUCCCAGGGGAUUAGAGUAUAGGGCAGCUUUGAAGAGCUAUUUUUCUUCCUGUUUCAUAGGGAUAUAAUUUCUUUGACUGACUGUCCUUCCACCAAACUGUGAGCUUCCUAAGAACAGGUGCAGUACCCAAAUCAAGGCUUUGUAAUUCUCUCUCCCUUACCCAAUUCCUGUCCAUUGUAUCAUAAUUCACAAUUAGGUACUUAUUUUUUUAACUCCCUUCUUGCCUCCUCCCUCUGUUAAAAAGUAAGCUGCAGGGGGGAGAAAAAGAGUAAGUUGCGAGAGAUCGGGGCCUAUGUCUGCUGUAUCCACUACAGUAUAUAUGCAGUGUCCAGUUUAGGGCCUAACACACAGGGAGCCUCAGCAGAGCACCAGGCUUUGGUUUCAUCAGAGACUUUGAGCACGUUACUUCCUUGGUUCACUCUCUGUUUUCAUAGCAUUAAAGUGAGGACAAUAAUAAUAUAUUCUUUAUGGGGUUGUUGUGGGAGGUUAAUGAGAUUCAUAAGCACCAAAUAAAGUGCUAUGUAUUAAAUAUUUGAGGAGAUUCAA
rnacentral:lncRNA from 1 species